GUGGGGAAUAUUGGGCAAUGGAGGAAACUCUGAUGCAGCGACGCCGCGUGGAGGAAGAAGGUCUUCGGAUUGUAAACUCCUGUUGUCGGGGACGAUAAUGACGGUACCCGACAAGGAAGUGACGGCUAACUACGUGCCAGCAGCCGCGGUAAAACGUAGGUCACAAGCGUUGUCCGGAAUUACUGGGUGUAAAGGGAGCGCAGGCGGGGAGACAAGUUGGGAGUGAAAACUAGGGGCUCAACCCAUAAAUUGCUUUCAAAACUGUUUUUCAUGAGUAGUGCAGAGGUAGGCGGAAUUCCCGGUGUAGCGGUGGAAUGCGUAGAUAUCGGGAGGAACACCAGUGGCGAAGGCGGCCUACUGGGCACCAACUGACGCUGAGGCUCGAAAGUAUGGGUAGCAAACAGGAUUAGAAACCCUGGUAGUCC
rnacentral:rRNA from 1 species